CUCAGAAGAAUUCUCUGUGACGGGGAAAGAAAGGGCCACGGUAUCCCUGAAGCAUUAAGAACAUGGAGGCUCAAGAUAGGAAGUCAAAGACCAAGGAACUUUAAGUCCUUGGCUUUCUCCUCCAUAAGGGAAAUCAGACAAGAAUGUGUGGAAUCAUCCAGCUUGUGCUUGUGAAGCGGAUGCGACAAGGCUCUUCACCGUGCCAGAGCUCAGUGGAAUUUCUCAUCAAAGCUAAGAGCCUUCAGGCUCCCAGACACAAGUGUUAAAGACUACACAUCACACACUGCCUUGUGACUAGGAGUGGCCAAUCAAGUCUACAUGGAAGUUGCUGGCUGAGCUUCAGAGAAAGCUCUUUAAAGCAGAGUGUGCCUUCUCCAGCUCUCUCUUCCAUGCUAUUGUAUGGAUGCCACACGAUAAGAAGGAAGUAUCACAGGAUACAAAGAAAUGGGAUCUUUGAGCCACUGGAUGUAGAAGAGCUUCCACGAAUGUGUCUUUGGGUGAGACUGUGGGAUGAGUCAACUGUUGCUCAGAAGGAAAGAGAAUUGGUCAAGGUCAAACAUGCAGGAUCUCAACCCAGUUCCGGCCAACUCCAGCACGUCGUGGUUUCCCCAGUGUACCAAGCUGGUCCCUCUGCAGGGGCAGAGAGUGGGGUCUGCCGGACACUGUCACAUGGAGCCUGAACAUGAAGCUAACCUGUCCCAUGGCCAGCUGAGUGAAAGAGGGAAAUGAAAGCCUGAUGAUACCAUUUGAGCCCUGUAUAUAGCCUGGUCUAGAGCUACUUCUACUGAUGGCUUUUCAACUAUUUAUUCCAAUAAAAUUGCUUUUUAUUUAAA